rnacentral:rRNA from 1 species
GAUGAACGCUGGCGGCGUGCCUAAUACAUGCAAGUCGAGCGAACGGACGCGAAGCUUGCUUCUCUGAUGUUAGCGGCGGACGGGUGAGUAACACGUGGAUAACCUACCUAUAUGACUUGGAUAACUUCGGGAAACCGGAGCUAAUACCGGAUAAUAUUUUGAACCGCAUGGUUCAAAAGUGAAAGACGGCCUUGCUGUCACUUAUAGAUGGAUCCGCGCUGCAUUAGCUAGUUGGUAAGGUAACGGCUUACCAAGGCAACGCUGCAUAGCCGACCUGAGAGGGUGAUCGGCCACACUGGAACUGAGACACGGUCCAGACUCCUACGGGAGGCAGCAGUAGGGAAUCUUCCGCAAUGGGCGAAAGCCUGACGGAGCAACGCCGCGUGAGUGAUGAAGGUCUUCGGAUCGUAAAACUCUGUUAUUAGGGAAGAACAUAUGUGUAAGUAACUGUGCACAUCUUGACGGUACCUAAUCAGAAAGCCACGGCUAACUACGU